AAAAUGCGAUACUUGGUGUGAAUUGCAGAAUCCCGUGAACCAUCGAGUUUUUGAACGCAAGUUGCGCCCGAAGCCAUCCGGCUGAGGGCACGCCUGCCUGGGCGUCACGCAUCGCGUCGCUCCCCACCAUACCUCCCCAACGGGUUGGCAUGGUGUUGGGGGCGGAUAAUGGCCUCCCGUGCUUGUGUUUCGGUUGGCCUAAAUAAGAGUUCCCUUCGGCGGACACACGACUAGUGGUGGUUGAAUAGACCCUCGUCUUUUGUUGCGUGUCGUGAGCUGUAAGGGUAGCACUCAUCAAAGACCCCAUUGUAUCGUCUUCGGAUGAUGCUUCGACCGCGACCCCAGGUCAGGCGGGACUACCCGCUGAGUUUAAGC
rnacentral:misc_RNA from 1 species